rnacentral:rRNA from 1 species
GUAGGUGGCAAGCGUUGUCCGGAAUUAUUGGGCGUAAAGCGCGCGCAGGCGGUUCUUUAAGUCUGAUGUGAAAGCCCACGGCUCAACCGUGGAGGGUCAUUGGAAACUGGAGAACUUGAGUACAGAAGAGGAAAGCGGAAUUCCACGUGUAGCGGUGAAAUGCGUAGAGAUGUGGAGGAACACCAGUGGCGAAGGCGGCUUUCUGGUCUGUAACUGACGCUGAGGCGCGAAAGCGUGGGGAGCAAACAGGAUUAGAUACCCUGGUAGUCCACGCCGUAAACGAUGAGUGCUAAGUGUUAGGGGGUUUCCGCCCCCCUUAGUGCUGAAGCUAACGCAUUAAGCACUCCGCCUGGGGAUACGGCCGCAAGGCUG